AGAUAGAGGAGUGCUCGAAAGAGAGCGUACACAGGUGCUGCAUGGCUGUCGUCAGCUCGUGUCGUGAGAUGUUGGUUAAGUCCCGCAACGAGCGCAACCCUUGUCAUUAGUUGCUACAUUUAGUUGGGCACUCUAAUGAGACUGCCGGUGACAAACCGGAGGAAGGUGGGGAUGACGUCAAGUCCUCAUGGCCCUUAUAGGUGGGGCUACACACGUCAUACAAUGGCUGGUACAGAGGGUUGCCAACCCGCGAGGGGGAGCCAAUCCCAUAAAGCCAGUCGUAGUCCGGAUCGCAGUCUGCAACUCGACUGCGUGAAGUCGGAAUCGCUAGUAAUCGCGGAUCAGAAUGUCGCGGUGAAUACGUUCCCGGGUCUU
rnacentral:rRNA from 1 species